UGGCUGGUUGCUGCCUCCGGGCGACCAGGGGCCUGGGGACUUCGUGCCUGGGCCAGGGUCUCUUUCCUUUCGCGGGCACAGUGAGGAGACUGCGAGGUGAGGUGCGUCCGGGUGGAUCCCGGGCUGCGGCGACUGUCACAUUCUCCCCGGCCAGACCGGAGGUGGAGCAGAACUGGGGGCGACGAGCUUGACAGGGAUUGCAGCUGGACGUAUUUAGGUUCAAAACAUUCUCCUCCUGGCUUUCUUCCGCUCCACUCUUUGGUCAGGAAGACUUUGGGGCGGGGUACCCCCCAACCCAUGCCCUCAAAUUGCUGGCCUAGAGGGCACAGCGCCUUUCUAAAAGCUGCAGUUGGGUUGCCUCUAAAAUAAUGAAGCUAACCCUUGCUAAUUGUGGGGAAAAGAUAGCCAGAAGCAGCAAAUUUCUGUUGUGGACGUCUGAUAUAAACUGAUCCUCUUGAGAUGGUUAAUGCUUAGUUGGCUAUACCUGCCCCCCGCCCCCGCCGCUUUUUUUUUCCUUUAUCCGUUUUUUUUUCUUUUUUCUUGAGACAAGGUCUUGCUCUGUGGCCCACGCUGGAGUGCAGUGUCAUGAUCAUAGCUCACUAGCCCUGAACUCCUGUGCUCAAGUAAUCCUCCCGCCUCGGCCUCCCAAAGUGCUAGGAUUAUAGGCAUGAGCUACUUUACCCAGCCUGUUUUUUUCUGUGCAAAUAAAUGCACAUGUAUUUUAGAUUAGUUUCAUUUUUAUUGUUAACAGCAUUUUUCCACCAGACGCUUAUGGAUUGACAACUCUACAUCAAGUGUUGCUGUAGGCUAGGAAUCAACAAAACUUUUUGUAUAAAAGGGACAGAAAGCAAAUAUUUUAGACUCUGCAGGUCAGGAGGCAAGAUCAAGGAUUUUUUUUUUUCUAAAUGUCCUCCAGUUCAUAUUUUCUCAUGAAGAUCGAGGAUCUUAAUUGGUUUUUUUUUUUUGUUUUUUUUUUUUUGAGACACAGUCUUGCUCUCUCUCGCCCAAGCUGGAGUGCAGUGGUGUGAUCUCGGUUCACUGCAACCUCUGCCUCCCGUGCUCAAGCAAUUCUCCUGCCUCAGCCUCCAGGGGAGCUGGGACUACAGGUGCGCACCACCACGCCCGGCUAAUUUUUGCAUUUUUAGUAGAGAUGGGGUUUCACCAGGUUGGCCAUGCUGGUCUUGAACUCCUGACCUCACAUGAUCUGCCUGCCUUGGCCUCCCAGAGUGCUGGGAUUACAGGUGUGAGCCACCCUACCCAGCCUUAUUUAGGUAUUUCUAUAACCAGAAAGAAAAGUUCAUAAAAUUUUUGUUGGUGAAAAUCAAAAUAUGAUAACUGAGUAGUUUCUUAAAUACAAGUUGCUACAGUUUGAAUGUUUGUUCCUAAUCCCCAGUGAAACGGUAUUAAGAGGUGGGGCCUUUAAGAGGUGAUUGGGUUAUGAGGUCGUGCCAUUCAUGUGUUAAUGGAUAAAUAGGUUAUCAUGGGAGUGGGACUGGUUUGGAGCUUGCAGUGAGCUGAGAUUGCACCACUGCACUCCAGCCUGGGCGACAGAGUGAGACUCCAUCUCAAAAAAAUAAAAUAAAAUAAAAUAAAAAGAGGAAGAAAGCCAGGCUCAGUGGCUCAUGCCUGUAAUUCCAGCACCUUGGGAGGCCAAGGCACGCAGAUCACCUGAGGUCAGGAGUUCGAGACCAGCCUGGCCAACAUGGAUAAAUCCCAUCUCUACUAAAAAUACAAAAAUUAGCCGGGCAUGGUGGCGGAUGCCUGUAAUCCCAUCUACUUGGGAGGCUGAGGCACGAGAAUCACUUGGACCCGGGAGGCAAAGGUUGAGGUGGAGGUUACAGUGAGCCAAAGUCGCGCCACUGCACUCCAGCCUGGGCAACAGAGCAGGACUCCGUUUCAAAAAAAAAGGAAGAGAGACCUGAGCUUGCACACAGCCUGCUAGCCAUGUGAUGCCCUGUGCUACCUCAAGACUCUGCAGAGUCCCCACCAGCAAGAAGGCCCCCGACUUUGGAUAUCUCAGCCUCCAGAACUGUAAGAAAUAAAUUUCUCUUCUUUAAAAAUU
rnacentral:lncRNA from 1 species